AUUUAUUCAUCACCCACACACUUGAAUUUAUCACCAAACAAUGUACGAAUCCCUGUUUGUUUGUGCUGUGUUUAUGCAGGGAAUCUCAUGCGUGAGAAUGGAGAGAAUAUUGGAGCUGUGUGUUUAUGCAGGGAAUCUCAUGCGUGAGAAUGGAGAGAAUAUUGGAGCUGCAUUGGCUCUGGCAUAGGCAUGGCACGAGCAUGGCACGGGCAUAGGCAUGGC
rnacentral:lncRNA from 1 species